rnacentral:piRNA from 1 species
CAUCUUUUGAGUUACUUCUGAAUUUCAG